AGUGUAAUCAUAGGAUAUAUUGUUAUAUGGUAUGUUUUAAGAAGAAGGAUGUGAUGAUUGGUCAAAUUAUAAGCAAAAACAAUUAAUAUUUGAAAAUUAAGGUGCUGGAACGGUCGCAUAUGUUAUAUCUCCUUUCUUUAGAAAUGGGACUUGGUAUGUACGAACAUGGCAAUAACAUGUUGUACAAUUAUCUAUGUGAAGUGUACUAUAAACUUGGCUUUAUUUUAUUGGACGUCAUUUUUUUGUUAUUUUCCUCUUGACACGCGUAUUUGCACUCAAAACAACUCACCAGCUAACAUGGAUCUUUGAAGUUCACUUUCUUUUUCACUGAUUCUUUCAAAUUAAAGUUUGUUAAUUGUAUUUGCUGAAAGGAAAAUUGGAUGAAAAUGACUAUAAACAAAAUAAUACUUAGCAACCAUCCAAACAAGUUGUUGAUGAAGAUGGAGAUACUGUUGUUCAAAUUUCGACAUACAGUCAUCAUCUGAAACAAAUUUUGGGGCUUAUGCACUCCACUCGCUGUCUACUAAACGAGCGUUAGAGCGAGUAUUAUUGCUGGCUAUGUUGCUGUUUGGCUAAUGAAAACACUGAAUGCUGGUAAUACCAAUGGAUGGCUUUCGAUUUCGUCGAGAGUUUCUUGUUUUGGCCCUGGUAUUGCAUUUCUUAUACUAACUGUUCUUAAUUUCCUCUUAUGGGGAAGUCAUAGCACUUAUACAAUUCCUUUCACUACAUACAUUAUUCUGUUGUUGUUGUGGUUUUGCAUUUCCAUGCCUCUUACACUCAUAGGUGGAUUCAUCGCUACAAAGGCUCCACACCUUGAGAAUACCCUUGUCGUAGCAAUCAAAUUCCUCGUGAAAUCCCAUCAAACAGAUUUCCUACUUGGGUGUUGGUAACUGGAGCAGGAACUCUGCCAUUUGGAACUCUGUUUAUUGAUCUCUUUUUCAUCAUGUCUAGCAUAUGGCUCGGACGUGUUUAGUAUGUUUUCGGGUUUCUGUUGGUAGUAUUGAUACUUGUGGUUGUUUGUGCUGAAGUGUCUUUGGUCCUGACUUAUAUGCAUCUUUGUAUGGAAGAUUGGAGAUGGUGGUGGAAAUCAUUCUUCGCGUCUGGCUCAGUUGCAAUCUACAUAUUCUUCUACUCCGUCAACUAUCUUGUUAUCGAUCUCAAGAGCCUGAGUGGACCUGUUUCGACUAUGCUAUACUUAGGCUACUCACUUUUAAUGGCGCUUGCUGUUAUGCUAGCAACUGGUGCUAUAGGGUUCUUGACGUCUUUUUUCUUUGUGCAUUGUCUCUUCUCUUCCGUUAAAAUAGAUUGAAGAAAGUGACCUGUUUGAGUUCCAUUUUCCAUGCUAUUGAUGAUUAACAUGAAGUUCAGGUGGACACUAAUGUUAACCACUUGCAAAUAUUGCUAGCUUUUAUGGUAGACUACUUUAUUUCAAAUUUGUUGUCAUGUUGUUUCAUACAUUUUAAAGGAAAUAAGAUUAGUUACUGAGAAAUUAUGAAUGUGUGUGUAGUGUAAGUUUAAUUCUAGCGCUAGGAAUUUGCAAGCACAACAUAUGACUUCUCAGUUAAAUAGAAAAACAAUGUGUAAAUAGACUUCCAUUGCUGUGUGAAGUCACAAACUUGGAAAUACAUUAACCAAAGAGCAAAGGGAAGCUAGAGUUUUAUAGUAUCACAAACACACACCAAAGAUAAGGAUUUCCCUGAUUAUAAUUUAUAUGAAUGUCAUCAACAUUGCUCAUAUUAAAAUGUCAAAAGUCCAAGUCUAAAUUUCAUGACCAGCUUCUGUAAGACAUACUUUGAGCUGAUAAUUCGAGAGUAUGGUUAUUAAUUCAUGGUGUAUAGAUUAAUUUUACUUUACAAGGUCUUGCAGCUUGAAUUAGGUUUUUUGAAUUUACUUAUGAAAGACGUAUGAGUUUUAACUUUAAGUACUAUAGAUUUGACUUAAUGAUAUUUUCAUAUUUUUAGUUAUAUUUUUUAUUCUGUUAUUUUACUUGUGAGUUACAUUUUUCGGGGCUAUUUGAGUGACCCAUAAUUUUGUGGUCGAAUGCCACUUAACCAUAAGGAGAGAGACAUCAACCACUUGACUCUAAUGAGAUGAAUUUUAUAGAAAAAGUAGUUCAAAAGAAGCCACAAAUUUAAAUAGAAAGAAUAGUCAAUGUCAAUUAGAGACAACUUUGUUGAACUCUUCCUUUCGAAACUUACCAUCAUAUAUGAAUUAUGUUAGUAUGAAUCUAUGUAUUUGUCAACCUUCUGAUGGAGGCAUAUAGUAUAUCUCAUAUAAUUUGCUAAUAACUUUUGGAACUAUCGAGAUUGUUCUUUGAAAAUGGAUUAUUGCAAGUUUUCUUAUAUAAUCUAAAAUAGUUCUUCUCAAGAGGAGGAAAGCCAGAAUAUUUUACAUUAUAAUUGACUCUGCCAAAUCUUAGGUUGUGGUGAUCUCACCCCGUGAUGAUGUUGUGGAUGCGGGACAUUAGUUGUAUUGUUGUGAGCAGGCAAACCGUGCAAGUUGACUUUCCUUCUUGGAUUAUAAGGUUUGAAUAACCCACAUUGUGAGAGAAGUUGAAAAACAUGUAUCAAGUAAAUUCACCCUUUUAUUUAUAACAUUUCAGUUCUGUAUUCACACUUUCGACAUACAUUUAUUAUUUAGACGUGGGGUUGCUAGAGUUUUCCUACUACCUUUCGCUCGGGGGAGAUACUACUAUUUUUAUGCUAAAUAUUGAUUUUGACAUCUUAUUUGUUGAACUGUAAAACUCCACAAGAGAAAAACAUUUGAGAUGGAUGGUCAGAUGGUAGUAGUUGGUGUUGUUGGGUUUGUUAUGACAUUAUUCAAGGAAGAGACCAUUAUGAAGUACUGCUACAAAUGGGAAGCUAAUGAAAACUAAGGAAAUUCAGACACAGUUUCUCGGAAAUUCAGGCACAGUUGUAGAAACCGAACAAGUAUGUUUGUGUCAACCAUGUGUUAACUCUCACAUGUAUCAAAUUUGAAUGUCAUCCCUUAUAUUUCGGGGUACCAUGGCUUGAAUUAGCUUUAGCUAUAUAUAAAAAAUGUAUUUUAAUAAUCAUGUGUUUCUCCGAAAUCUUAUUUACACCAACAUUCAUAUUAUCAGUUAAUUAUAUAAUAAGAGGUGAUGUAUGAAUUAGUUUUUAAUUGAUGUUUGCACCUCUUAGAGUUAAUUGAGCAUUGUAAGGAUAAUUUUACUGAUACUUGUAUGUCAUCUUCUUUUGUUGAGAAACAUGUAUGUGUUCUUUCAAAUUCACUGAUAUUGAUUAUUUAUGAAGUUAGUUUAUUGAUGAUAUAGGACUUGAGAAUGUUAAUAAGAUAGCAAUAUAUCACCUAAAAGACAUUUACUGGUCUCUCUGUCUAUAAUGUUUAUAGAAAUGGAAUGGUUGUAUGCACUUAUCAUCACUUAUCCAAUCAUGUAUUUGUGUAUUAUCACUUACCCAAUCAUGUAUUUGUGAUACGUAGCCUAUUUUAAAUAAAAUGAUCAUUAUUAUUUAAA